rnacentral:rRNA from 1 species
GAUCGCGGCGACGUGGGCGGUUCGCUGCUGGCGACGUCAUGAGAAGUCCACUGAACCUUAUCAUUUAGAGGAAGGAGAAGUCGUAACAAGGUUUCCGUAGGUGAACCUGCGGAAGGAUCAUUGUCGAU